UUUGUCGUGAAUAAAAUCUCUGGAAGACAGCAAGCAAGGGACCAGCUUAGCUCUCUGUCAGUUACGCUGUACUAAGUCCUUAUGUUUCCUGAUCGUCCAUAAACUCCAUAGUGUAUGGAGAACCUUGACCUCUGGAUCAGAGAGAAUAGCUUGAAAAGCCUUAGGAGUCACUCAUACAGGAGUAUAUGAUCUAACUUGGGCCUAGGAAAAGAGGAAUUUGUCUGGAGAUAACAAGUACCAGAGAAGGCUUCCUGUGACCAAACAUGUCUUUUAGGCCACCAAGAAGGCAGGAUAGGGCAUCCAUGCCAGAAGAGAGAGCGCUCUGGCCAGAGGUUUAGAGAAGCUGGAAGUGUCCUAAUGGACAGGGUAUGAGAUUUGGUAUGGAGCGUCAGGUCAGAUGCUGGAAGCCGAGAAUAACAGGCAGGGAGCCAGCUAAAGGAACUGGCCUGGUCACCAUGGGUACAAGAUGGGUAGGAUGGAGGCUGUCAGGCCCUGUGCCACCUAGGCCAGCUGGAGCUCAGCAGGCAUGCCCACUCUGUGCCUGUCACCUUGUAGCACUUGGCUUGGACUCUAGUAGCUCAUGGAGCUGUUUCCAAGUUUGCAAGGAAACUGUGGAGCUCAGAAACUGGCCAUCUUCCCAUGCCACGUUAUUUUUCCUACCACCAUCAUUUAUUCAUUCAACACUCAUUGACUGCACAUUAUGUGUUAAGUAAGGCCUUGGGGACACAGAGGAGGAAACCACAGUCCUCUACCCAGCCCUUUAGCUCUUGUGAUCCGGAACUUCACAUAUCCAUUCACAACAGGAAGGUCAGGCUGAGGGGAGUGAGUGCUGAGUUAGCAGGCAUGGGAUGUGACAGUUAUCAUUGUUCUAUGGCUUCUUGCUCCCCCAGCCCCCUCCACUCUUCAAGAACCCACAAGAACAAAGUCAGAGGCCAUUUCAUGCUUUGCCCAUGACACCCAUCAGCUGUCACUUAGCUUCAGCCCAACGUCAGUUCUCUAGAUCCCCAUCAGUUCUAUAGCUUCCCUUUCUCCCGUUUAAAAUGACUUGGAUCGUAAGAAUCAGAAUAUCAAGAACUCGUUGAUAUUUAUGUGUGAGACUAGCAGGAAACAUCUUAAGUGCAAUUAGAUAAUAAACCAAUACCUGGAGGAAUUCAUGGAUAGAUGAUUUCUUCUACUUAGACACCAGAAGCUUGUCUGGAGUGCCAGGUUCAGAAUACUACCUGGCUCUCCUCAGACAAGAUCCUGAGCACAGUUCUCGGCAGUUAGGCCUGCAUGUAAAGUGACAGUAGUGAGCAUCUGGCCACCACUUCCCCGCACAGCUGGGUUGUGACCCAGCCCUGCAAAUGUAUCCUUAACCCCAGCCCUCUAUCCCUGCCUAUGGCCCUUUUCUGUCCCUUGCCUUCCAAGACCAGGAAAGACAAAUGGGUUUCUUCUCAUUACUACUACUCUGGUGGACGUGUGUGUGUGUGUGUGUGUGUGUGUGUGUGUGUGUGUGUGUGUAAGAGCAAGCUCUUAGAUAUUGUAUGGUGAUUACCAAAGCACAGGAGGCCCAAGCCACUUCUGGCUCCUUGGAUGUUCUUUCUAAAUCUUUGGUUUAGCCACCAGACUAGGAGGAUGUCCUGCGUUCCGCUUCCUUCUGUACUGUCCAGCUGUUGCUGGUAGGCAAGGCAAGCGAACUUGAAACAGGCUCUUCUGUGGACAGGUGAGGUGGCAGCACUUGACUCUUUCAUUUAGGAAAGCCAGAGGUCGGUGAGGAUGCUUCCCCAGGAAGAGAGUGUGUACUCUCAGUCCUGUACGCUGAACAACAUAGCAAGGGGAGGUUCAGGGUCUAGAAGCAAGUGGGUCUUCCCUGCACUGGCUGGCCUUGGCUUCCUUCUGGCUUCCUUUGCUGAGAUUUCCUGGAGGAAGUUUACUGACUAAACGUCACAUCCAUAGAGACUUGCCAAGGGUUUAAAUAUGGGAGCCAGUUGACAGCACACACUCUCGGUCACCAGGCUGCUAAGAGAGGCUUCCUCCGGAGCAGAGAGGCUCACAGACGCUCGUGCUGAUGAAGGAGGUGCACAGUUCUCGUUUCCUGUUCUGCUGUCCCUCUCAUGGGCUUUAUUCUCUUCCAGGACACAGUCCAGGGUCAGAAGAAGAGAAAAGAGAAAAGACAGCUUGGUGAUGACAAAGAAGAUGGGAAGGAGGAGAAAAUGAAAUGUUGCCUGAAGACAAUGGCCGAGACAGCCUGUCCCACCCUGCACAGCCCCCAGUGCCUCCUUCCCCAGCCUUGUCUCCUCCAUACAUCACCCUUCGUUCACUCUGCUGAACCUGAGGGUCCAAGGUGGCCUAGUAAAGAAACAAGGUCACAGGAAGACCAACCCCACUCACCUGGAAGUCAGAGGCUCCUCCCCCUCCGGCCCACCAUCCUGUUUAGUGCACUGGGCAAGCCUCUAUCCACUUCCGGCCUGCAAAAGGAACACUGGAUAUGACUGUCUGCAGCCACUUAGCCCUACAUUUUACAUUGGGAAUUCAUAUUUUGUUCUGCUUUGUUACCUGCAAGUCACCCUACUUCCUGCUCCCUGAAUUUCAGGCAACUCAGUCUUUUCUCCUUUAAGCUGCCCUGGGACACAGGUAGAUUCCUCUACUAAGGCCUACAAAGAAACAACCAAACAACAAAGAAACGAAAAACCCCCGAGGCUUGUCCCAUUGCUGACGGCCAGCGCUGACCUAGAAAGUGGCCUGUCCUGGAGCAAAGACCUGGGCCAGACAGUGUAUGUCUUGGCUAGGUGUGCUUGCAGCCUGAGUCAGAUGCUUUGCCUUCUCCUCUGGUUCCAGAUGUUCUGAACAGUGCCCCGGUGGCUUCAGGAAGAUGGUCCUGUGAAGGGCAGUGAUGGGACAGGCAGUUCAGCUUUUAUGGAAACAGAAGUGGUAACUCCUGCCUGCCAGGGUCACAGGACGAAUGCAGAGCCUACAGAGCCGAGCUGCUUCAGACACACAAGAGUGCAGGAGGAAAGGAAACGCAGAAGCACCAUCCGGAGGCUGUGGUACAGGGAGCAGUCCUGCCACCAGGGACUCGGCAGGAGCCCUUCUAGAGGGCCUUUGUCAUCAGCCUGCUGGCCUAGCGUCUCCUAUGCCUGCCCAUGCCACCCACACCUCUCAGGAUUGUCCUGGGUCUGAUGUGCAGUGGGACGCUGUCCAGGCACUUGGGAAAUGGAAACUUCAUGACUGGCAUUUCGACCCCCAAAGCACUAGGCAGCACAUUGGGAAGUUGCCAGAGGAAGGGGCUCCAGCCUCCCAGGAGUUAAAGAUGCUUCUCCCCAGCUGUCCUCCCUUGGUGCUCCCUUCCCUCCCUCCUCCCGCUCACAGCAGGCAGGGCCUGGAACCAGGAGCCAUGCUGCUGGGCUGUUGCCAGGGGAGCUGAGAGGCAGAUCAGAGCUAUGCAGGGGAAAGGCUCAGCCUGUCAAAGUGUCUGAGAUGAACCACCGCCAUCCUGUGCAGCUGGGCUCAGAUGUGUCUCGGCUCUUGUUCUGUGCCUGAGAACGGGGAAGCCCAGUGAGGUUCAAGGACACACUCGCUAUUCAUUAGUCAGGGGUUCUUGACGCCCUGUCUCUCCCAGGCAUGGGUUCCCCCUUCCCCUUUCUCUCCCUCCUAUGGCACAUUCCUGGGUGCCUGCGGUGAGGACUGCACACCCCCUCCUGCACAGCCCCCUCCACACAAACCCUGAAUCAACUCCUGUUCAGAAGACCAGGCGGGACAGAGACAAUGGCUUCAAGAAACCAUUCAGGCGGGACCCAGCCACCUUCCACUGCCCUCUGCUCCCAGGGCUCCUAUAGAUCCAGCUCGGCUGGGACUCGGCACCCUUGGGCUCCGGCUUGCACAGACCUGGACAAGAGCAGACCACAGGUGCUGCCCUACACAACAGGCCAGUGAAGUGCUAUUCUCAGUGGCCCCUUGGUGCCUCGAUCCCUCCCGCUGGUUAGAUAUUUCUGUGCAGUUUGUUGGAGAGUAGAAAGUACAUUUUCUGAAAUGUUGCAAUGUCAAAAUGUAAAAGGCACAUAGACUUGGUUACUAAUUUCAUGACUGGAAACUUACUCCAGAUACACUGGAAACGUUUGCUAAGAAGCAUGGACAAAACUGUGGUUCACUAACGGGUCAUUUAAUACUAUGGGAUACUACACAGCUGUGAAAGUGUGGUAGAUCUUUGCAUGCAGGCUGAUAGGAAGGCCGACUAAUAUACUUAAGUGAAUAGAACAAAUUACAGAACAUUCAAGUAUGUUCUUGUUUGUAUACGUUUAAAAGUCAGUCAUGGAGUCCGAGGUAUGUGAAGCUCUGUGGUAAAAUACACACAACACACAAGAAGCCUGGAGUCAAAUAAAAUAUAUCAGCCAUUAAGCAUGUCUAUGUCUGUGCAUGGAUGGUUCUUGAACAUAAACACUGGACAGCAACCUCUGGGAAAUGGGAGGGAUGUCUUCCUGUAUGUUUGUGUUUGUUUUUUCUCUGUGUUUGUGAAAUGCUUUUAUUGAAAACAGAAAGAGUUGUAAUCACUUAAUAGAUUUAACUUCUCUCAGCCAAUGAAGGGUAGGCACGCUAAGACAAGGUGUGAUGUGGCAGGGGAAAGUGUCUUAACAGUACUGAUGGCCUCUGGCCAAUGGUGUUACUGCAGCCUACUAAUCACGUGUCAUCAUCAUGGCUGCUACUAUUAACCAAAAGCCCACUAUGUGCCAGGCUUAGCUUCUCUGGUUCUUGUUUAGGUGAGCAUCAUAUUUCAGUCUCACCUAUGCAGGAGACAGAGCAAGGAAAUCAGAGGGUUUCUCCAAGCUGGUUGGCAGGUAGGGGCAGGGUCAAUAUCCUAGAGUGGGUAAAUCAAAUGUGGUUCUGAUUUCCCUCAGGGU